UUCUUUUUUAAUUGGUUGUGGCUCUGCCUUUCCAACAAUUUCGGUUUUCUUUUCCUAGUUUCACGCUUUCGUUUCUUUUGGGCAUAUUGUCAAACUGUGGGUGUAAAAGGCAGACGGAGAAGGUAUGGUACAAAAAUCUAUAAAUACUCUCGAUGCAAAACGUUUUUAGCUGGAAUAAUAUGCAAUAAUGAGCAUAAAUAUGUGAUUAAACUGAGGAGGCUCGACGAUUGAAGUUCGAAAGAAAGCAAAGAAAAUAGUAAACACACAGCCGGCAAUCAAAUCAAAUGAAAUCAAACUAAAUAUACCAUUGACCAGCCCACCAAAGGAGGCGAAAUGUUGGAAAUGGAGGUGACUUGAGGGAAAUGCAAAAGCAAAAGAGCAAUGAACCCUGCUCGAACCCAAAGAAAGCAACAAAAAGUGUGCACUGAAAAAAUCGAUGAAAGUUACUCAAAAUAAAACCAAGCUAAAAAACCUCAGAAAUCUUUUCCCCUUA